rnacentral:sRNA from 1 species
UGCCAAAUAGUUGUUAAUAGAUGUCGC